GCAUGGUCUUAGCUUGCUAAGACUGAUGGCGACCGGCGCACGGGUGAGUAACACGUAUCCAACCUGCCGUCUACUCUUGGACAGCCUUCUGAAAGGAAGAUUAAUACAAGAUGGCAUCAUGAGUCCGCAUGUUCACAUGAUUAAAGGUAUUCCGGUAGACGAUGGGGAUGCGUUCCAUUAGAUAGUAGGCGGGGUAACGGCCCACCUAGUCUUCGAUGGAUAGGGGUUCUGAGAGGAAGGUCCCCCACAUUGGAACUGAGACACGGUCCAAACUCCUACGGGAGGCAGCAGUGAGGAAUAUUGGUCAAUGGGCGAGAGCCUGAACCAGCCAAGUAGCGUGAAGGAUGACUGCCCUAUGGGUUGUAAACUUCUUUUAUAAAGGAAUAAAGUCGGGUAUGUAUACCCGUUUGCAUGUACUUUAUGAAUAAGGAUCGGCUAACUCCGUGCCAGCAGCCGCGGUAAUACGGAGGAUCCGAGCGUUAUCCGGAUUUAUUGGGUUUAAAGGGAGCGUAGAUGGAUGUUUAAGUCAGUUGUGAAAGUUUGCGGCUCAACCGUAAAAUUGCAGUUGAUACUGGAUAUCUUGAGUGCAGUUGAGGCAGGCGGAAUUCGUGGUGUAGCGGUGAAAUGCUUAGAUAUCACGAAGAACUCCGAUUGCGA
rnacentral:rRNA from 1 species